UAAAGCGUGCGCAGGCGGUCUUGUAAGACAGAGGUGAAAUCCCCGGGCUCAACCUGGGAACUGCCUUUGUGACUGCAAGGCUAGAGUACGGCAGAGGGGGAUGGAAUUCCGCGUGUAGCAGUGAAAUGCGUAGAUAUGCGGAGGAACACCGAUGGCGAAGGCAAUCCCCUGGGCCUGUACUGACGCUCAUGCACGAAAGCGUGGGGAGCAAACAGGAUUAGAUACCCUGU
rnacentral:rRNA from 1 species